rnacentral:rRNA from 1 species
AUGCCGCGUGCAGGACGAAGGCCUUCGGGUUGUAAACUGCUUUUGUACGGAACGAAACGGUCCUUUCUAAUAAAGAGGGCUAAUGACGGUACCGUAAGAAUAAGCACCGGCUAACUACGUGCCAGCAGCCGCGGUAAUACGUAGGGUGCGAGCGUUAAUCGGAAUUACUGGGCGUAAAGCGUGCGCAGGCGGUUAUAUAAGACAGAUGUGAAAUCCCCGGGCUCAACCUGGGACCUGCAUUUGUGACUGUAUAGCUAGAGUACGGUAGAGGGGGAUGGAAUUCCGCGUGUAGCAGUGAAAUGCGUAGAUAUGCGGAGGAACACCGAUGGCGAAGGCAAUCCCCUGGACCUGUACUGACGCUCAUGCACGAAAGCGUGGGGAGCAAACAGGAUUAGAUACCCUGGUAGUCCACGCCCUAAACGAUGUCAACUGGUUGUUGGGUCUUCACUGACUCAGUAACGAAGCUAACG